rnacentral:rRNA from 1 species
AACAGGUCUGUAGCAAUACAGAUGCUGACGAGUGGCAGACGGGUGAGGAACACGUACACAACUUUCCUUUAUCUGGUGAAUAGCCCCGAGAAAUCGGGAUUAAUACACCAUAGUAUCUUUGAGUGACAUCACUUGGAGAUUAAAGCUCAGGCGGAUAAAGAUGGGUGUGCGUCUGAUUAGCUAGUUGGUUGAGGUAACGGCUCACAAGGCGACGAUCAGUAACUGGUGUGAGAGCACGACCAGUCACACGGGCACUGAGAUACGGGCCCGACUCCUACGGGAGGCAGCAGUAAGGAAUAUUGGUCAAUGGACGCAAGUCUGAACCAGCCAUGCCGCGUGCAGGAUGAAGGCCCUCUGGGUCGUAAACUGCUUUUAUCAGGGAAGAAAUCACUUGUUUCUACGAGUGUUGACGGUACCUGAGGAAUAAGCACCGGCUAACUCCGUGCCAGCAGCCGCGGUAAUACGGAGGGUGCAAGCGUUAUCCGGAUUUACUGGGUUUAAAGGGUGCGUAGGCGGGCCUUUAAGUCAGUGGUGAAAGCUCCGAGCUUAACUCGGAAACUGCCAUUGAUACUAUUGGUCUUGAAUUCGGUCGAGGUUGGCGGAAUGUGUCGUGUAGCGGUGAAAUGCUUAGAUAUGACACAGAACACCGAUUGCGAAGGCAGCUAGCUAGACCGACAUUGACGCUGAGGCACGAAAGCGUGGGGAUCAAACAGGAUUAGAAACCCUGGUAGUCCACGCCCUAAACUAUGAUUACUCGAUGUUGGCGAUACACUGCCAGCGUCUAAGCGAAAGCAUUAAGUAAU